GCAGCCGCCACGGGAAUACAGAGGGUGCGAGCGUUAAUCGGAUUUACUGGGCGUAAAGCGUGCGUAGGCGGCUAAUUGAGUCGGAUGUGAAAUCCCCGAGCUUAACUUGGGAAUUGCAUUCAAUACUGGUUAGCUAGAGUGUGGGAGAGGAUGGUAGAAUUCCAGGUGUAGCGGUGAAAUGCGUAGAGAUCUGGAGGAAUACCGAUGGCGAAGGCAGCCAUCUGGCCUAACACUGACGCUGAGGUACGAAAGCAUGGGGAGCAAACAGGAUUAGAUACCCCCGUAGUCCCUGUCUCUUAUAC
rnacentral:rRNA from 1 species